rnacentral:rRNA from 1 species
CAUCCUCCAAGGCUAAAUACUCCUGACUGACCGAUAGUGAACCAGUACCGUGAGGGAAAGGCGAAAAGAACCCCGGCGAGGGGAGUGAAAAAGAACCUGAAACCGUGUACGUACAAGCAGUGGGAGCCCCACCACCAAAGCAUUCUCUGGUGUUGAAGGCCCUGCAAAGCAGCAUCGCGGUGGCGGAGCGUCGUUUGCGACGCCCAACACACAAAACAAGCGGUGAGUGCUUUGGGGUGGGGUGACUGCGUACCUUUUGUAUAAUGGGUCAGCGACUUAUAUUCUGUAGCAAGGUUAACCGUAUAGGGGAGCCGUAGGGAAACCGAGUCUUAAUUGGGCGUUAAGUUGCAGGGUAUAGACCCGAAACC